rnacentral:rRNA from 1 species
ACUGCUCAGUAACACGUGGAUAACCUGCCCUAAGGAAGGGGAUAACCUCGGGAAACUGAGGAUAAUACCCUAUAGGUUACAGACGCUGGAACGCCCUGUAACCGAAAGUUCCGGCGCCUUAGGAUGGAUCUGCGGCCGAUUAGGUUGUUGUUGGGGUAACGGCCCAACAAGCCGAUAAUCGGUACGGGUUGUGGGAGCAAGAGCCCGGAGUUGGAUUCUGAGACAUGAAUCCAGGCCCUACGGGGCGCAGCAGGCGCGAAAACUUUACAAUGCGGGAAACCGUGAUAAGGGAACCCCGAGUGCCUGUAUAUGCAGGCUGUCCAGGUGUCUAAAAAACACCUGAAGAAAGGGCCGGGCAAGACCGGUGCCAGCCGCCGCGGUAAUACCGGCGGCUCGAGUGGUGGCCACUUUUAUUGGGCUUAAAGCGUUCGUAGCUGGGUUGUUAAGUCUCUUGGGAAAUCUGACGGCUCAACCGUCAGGCGUCCAAGGGAUACUGGCAAUCUUGGAACCGGGAGAGGUGAGGGGUACUUCGGGGGUAGGAGUGAAAUCCUGUAAUCCUCGAGGGACCACCUGUGGCGAAGGCGCCUCACCAGAACGGCUUCGACAGUGAGGGACGAAAGCUGGGGGAGCAAACCGGAUUAGAUACCCGGGUAGUCCCAGCCGUAAACGAUGCGCGUUAGGUGUAUCGGUGACCACGAGUCACCGAGGUGCCGAAGGGACACCGUGAAACGUGCCGCCUGGGAAGUACGGUCGCAAGGCUGAAACUUAAAGGAAUUGGCGGGGGAGCAC